AUGACAACGGCGAGGCCAUGGACGACGGAGGUGAUCAAGGGCGCGGCGUCGGCGGCGGCGGAGUGCUACUGGGCCAGCCUAAAGAGCCAGGCCCGCGCGGCCGGCGAGUACGCGACACGCAGGACACGCCAGGGCGUCGUCCUCUUCGGCGAGCCCAACAUUGGCCCCAUCAAGACCAUCGUUGAUCGUUUCUAG
rnacentral:rRNA from 1 species